rnacentral:rRNA from 1 species
AACGAACGCUGGCGGCAUGCCUAACACAUGCAAGUCGAGCGCCCGUAGCAAUACGGGAGCGGCGCACGGGUGAGUAACGCGUGGGAACCUGCCCAGAGGUCUGGGACAACCGCGGGAAACUGCGGCUGAUACCGGAUGAUUCCUGAGGGACAAAGAUUUAUCGCCUUUGGAGGGGCCCGCGUCGGAUUAGGUAGUUGGUGGGGUAACGGCUCACCAAGCCUAUGAUCCGUAACUGGUCUGAGAGGAUGACCAGUCACACUGGGACUGAGACACGGCCCAGACUCCUACGGGAGGCAGCAGUGGGGAGUAUUGGACAAUGGGGGCAACCCUGAUCCAGCAAUGCCGCGUGGGUGAUGAAGGCCUCGGUUGUAAGACCUUCGCGGGACGGAGUGAUGACGGUACCCGGCCA